GCCAGCGGCGAUAGCACGUUGAUUGCACCAAUUGCCAAAGGAUCACUGAAGUUAGGCAACAUUGAGCGUGUUUAGUAUUCGGAUGGGUCAUCUGGGCAAUCGCGUGCUGCUGGCU
rnacentral:rRNA from 1 species